rnacentral:tRNA from 2 species
AUUUAGGUAGCUUAAAGUAAAGCUUGACACUGAAGAUGUCAGGAUGAAUGCAAAUUCCCUAGAUG